GUUGCCUUUGCUCCUCGUCAGGCACUGAUUAAUACUGUGCACUGGGUUCUUUUCAGUCUGACUAAGCUUUCCACAGGUGGUAAGAGAGACAUCAUUUCCAAAAGAACAUCACUCCUUUCUUCUUUCAAGAAAAUAAGGUACUUGGGAUUCCUGGGUUCCUCUUCUGACUUAGACAUUGAUUCACUGUCUGGCCUUAGGCUUACCUUUUCACUCCUGGAAGUUCUCCCCUCUUGCCAAAGGCAGUGAA
rnacentral:lncRNA from 1 species